AACUCAGACGUGUGAAAGGAAUACUGGGGAGCUUACCAUGCAAGUCGAGCGGGCACCUUCGGGUGUCAGCGGCAGACGGGUGAGUAACACGUGGGAACGUGCCCUUCGGUUCGGAAUAACUCAGGGAAACUUGAGCUAAUACCGGAUACGCCCUUUUGGGGAAAGGUUUACUGCCGAAGGAUCGGCCCGCGUCUGAUUAGCUUGUUGGUGGGGUAACGGCCUACCAAGGCGACGAUCAGUAGCUGGUCUGAGAGGAUGAUCAGCCACACUGGGACUGAGACACGGCCCAGACUCCUACGGGAGGCAGCAGUGGGGAAUAUUGGACAAUGGGCGCAAGCCUGAUCCAGCCAUGCCGCGUGAGUGAUGAAGGCCUUAGGGUUGUAAAGCUCUUUUGUCCGGGACGAUAAUGACGGUACCGGAAGAAUAAGCCCCGGCUAACUUCGUGCCAGCAGCCGCGGUAAUACGAAGGGGGCUAGCGUUGCUCGGAAUCACUGGGCGUAAAGGGCGCGUAGGCGGCCGAUUAAGUCGGGGGUGAAAGCCUGUGGCUCAACCACAGAAUUGCCUUCGAUACUGGUUGGCUUGAGACCGGAAGAGGACAGCGG
rnacentral:rRNA from 1 species